CUACAUUAGAUACCCGUGUAGUCCUAGCCGUAAACGAUACUCGCUAGGUGUCGGCCACGGUGCGACCGUUGUCGGUGCCGUAGGGAAGCCGUGAAGCGAGCCACCUGGGAAGUACGGCCGCAAGGCUGAAACUUAAAGGAAUUGGCGGGGGAGCACAACAACGGGUGGAGCUUGCGGUUUAAUUGGAUUCAACGCCGGAAAUCUUACCGGGACCGACAGCAACAUGAAGGCCAAGCUGAAGACUUUGCCGGAUUAGCUG
rnacentral:rRNA from 1 species